CAAUAGCGUAUAUUAAAGUUGUUGCAGUUAAAAAGCUCGUAGUUGAAUUUCGGAACUCCGUUCCCGUUUCUUGAUUGAGGCGGUGCGGGAUUCCUCCUCGCCUUUGGCGUCAUUUACUGUGAAAAAAUUAGAGUGUUCAAAGCAGGCAAUCGCUUGAAUACAUUAGCAUGGAAUAAUAAGAUAGGAUCUUCGUCUAUUUUGUUGGUUGCGGACAAAGAUAAUGAUUAAUAGGGAUAGUUGGGGGUGUCUGUAUUGUGUUGUCAGAGGUGAAAUUCUUAGAUUUACACAAGACAAACUACUGCGAANGNAUUCACNAAGGAUGUUUNCAUUA
rnacentral:rRNA from 1 species